AACGCGUGGGAACAUACCCUUUGGUACGGAAUAGCCUCUGGAAACGGAGAGUAAUACCGUAUGAGCCCUUCGGGGGAAAGAUUUAUCGCCAAAGGAUUGGCCCGCGUUAGAUUAGGUAGUUGGUGGGGUAAUGGCCUACCAAGCCUACGAUCUAUAGCUGGUUUUAGAGGAUGAUCAGCAACACUGGGACUGAGACACGGCCCAGACUCCUACGGGAGGCAGCAGUGGGGAAUCUUGGACAAUGGGGGCAACCCUGAUCCAGCCAUGCCGCGUGAGUGAUGAAGGCCUUAGGGUCGUAAAGCUCUUUCGCCUGUGAAGAUAAUGACGGUAGCAGGUAAAGAAACCCCGGCUAACUCCGUGCCAGCAGCCGCGGUAAUACGGAGGGGGUUAGCGUUGUUCGGAAUUACUGGGCGUAAAGCGCACGUAGGCGGACUGGAAAGUUGGGGGUGAAAUCCCAGGGCUCAACCCUGGAACUGCCUCCAAAACUAUCAGUCUAGAGUUCGAGAGAGGUGAGUGGAAUUCCGAGUGUAGAGGUGAAAUUCGUAGAUAUUCGGAGGAACACCAGUGGCGAAGGCGGCUCACUGGCUCGAUACUGACGCUGAGGUGCGAAAGUGUGGGGAGCAAACAGGAUUAGAUACCCUGGUAGUCCACACCGUAAACGAUGAAUGCCAGUCGUCGGGUAGCAUGCUAUUCGGUGACACACCUAACGGAUUAAGCAUUCC
rnacentral:rRNA from 1 species